rnacentral:rRNA from 1 species
UGGGAAUCUUCCGCAAUGGGCGAAAGCCUGACGGAGCAAUGCCGCGUGAGUGAAGAAGGCCUUCGGGUCGUAAAACUCUGUUAUAAGAGAAGAACAAAUUGUAGAGUAACUGCUACAGUCUUGACGGUAUCUUAUCAGAAAGCCACGGCUAACUACGUGCCAGCAGCCGCGGUAAUACGUAGGUGGCAAGCGUUGUCCGGAUUUAUUGGGCGUAAAGGGAGCGCAGGUGGUUUCUUAAGUCUGAUGUGAAAGCCCACGGCUUAACCGUGGAGGGUCAUUGGAAACUGGGAAACUUGAGUACAGAAGAGGAAUGUGGAACUCCAUGUGUAGCGGUGAAAUGCGUAGAUAUAUGGAAGAACACCAGUGGCGAAGGCGACAUUCUGGUCUGUUACUGACACUGAGGCUCGAAAGCGUGGGGAGCAAACAGG